UCUAACAUAUCUUGCCUAAAUCUUCCACUAUAUGCUUGAGUCCUUCGAGAUGCUACUCAGUCCCAUCUUCUAGCCCUCGUAUAUAGGGUCUCCUUUUGGUCUCACAAUUUUCGACUCCUGAAUACUUUAGGGUUAGGAGAGGGUUCCUACUAUGUUCUAUUACACUUAGGUUAUGUUUCACUACACUUUUUAGGUUCCAUGAAAGCUUAAACCUCAUAUUCAAGGGAUGUGUCCUAGAAUCGUGCUUUAAU
rnacentral:lncRNA from 1 species